GUCUAUGGCCAUAUUGCCCUGAAUGUGCCCAACCUCAUCUGAUCUUGGAAACUAAGUGGGGUCGGCCUGGUUAGUACUUGGGUGGGAGAACUGGACCACUGGGAGGGCAUGACU
rnacentral:rRNA from 1 species